rnacentral:lncRNA from 1 species
UUGCUACUCCUCCAGCAGUUCAUAAUUAUACCUUUUUUCCUUCUCAGUGUGCCCUCUACCCCAGGAAAAGAGAGGAACUUCAAUAGAUGGAGAAAGUAAUGGAGGAAAAAUAGUCUUCAGAGUUAGAUCCUAGCUUGCCUUAUCUCUACUCCUCUUAUUCUUCAACCAACCUGCCUGGGAUCCAAUUCCAAAACAUCCAAUUUUUAAAAAUCCCUUGAAUCUAAAGAUAUCAUAAAAUACUCUAAUCAGAUUUCUGAAAACUGAAGGUCUCAUACAUCAAUUUUCAGCUGAAACAGAUUUCCUUUCAUGGAGUACAGCUUUUAAAUCAGAAUUUAUAUGAAUACCAACAUCAGUGACAGCGAUCCAAACGCAAAGUUAUUUACAAGGAAUAGAAGAAAAAAGCUCUGAACUCUCCCAGGACCCUUUACCCCAACUUCCUCAGCCACAUCCCACUUCCUUUGUGGGUGGUAUAAGAGAAGAUAUAAAAAGAAGGGAGAAGCACGAGUUUUGGAGCCUUUUCUAGAGAAGAGUCCUGCUCUGGAACUACAACUGCUUGAACAGAAGUGGACUGCAGUAAGACUGAAGGAUAUUUUGUAUUUUCCUUUGUUGCAUGGAUUGCCAUGAUCA